rnacentral:rRNA from 1 species
UACAGAGGGGGCAAGCGUUGUUCGGAAUUACUGGGCGUAAAGGGCGCGUAGGCGGCCUGAUAAGUAGGGGGUGAAAUCCUGCGGCUUAACCGCAGGGCUGCCUUCUAAACUGUCAGGCUAGAGCACAGUAGAGGCAGGUGGAAUUCCCGGUGUAGCGGUGGAAUGCGUAGAUAUCAGGAGGAACACCGGUGGCGAAGGCGGAUCUCUGGGCCUGUCCUGACGCUCAGGCGCGAAAGCUAGGGGAGCAAACAGG